CAGCUAGCACAUUUGGUUCCUUGGACGUUGUGCAAAUGUAUGUUUUUAAUUCGUCACAUUGGUUGUGGGAACAAAGCCGUAUGUUUCCUGACCGUUGAAACUGAACAUUUCUCCUGUUCUGGGAACGUACAUUUAUUUUGGUUCCAGGGAGGUUCCGAGAAGGUUUUAAUCUGGUUGAAUGUUUUCCAGGGAGGUUCUGAGAAGGUUUUAAUCUGGUUGAAUGUUUUCCAGGGAGGUUCUGAGAAGGUUUUAAUCUGGUUGAAUGUUUUCCAGGGAGGUUCUGAGAAGGUUUUAAUCUGGUUGAAUGUUUUCCAGGGAGGUUCUGAGAAGGUUUUAAUCUGGUUGAAUGUUUUCCAGGGAGGUCCUGAGAAGGUUUUAAUCUGGUUGAAUGUUUUCCAGGGAGGUUCUGAGGAGGUUUUAAUCUGGUUGAAUGUUUUCUAGGGAGGUUUUAUUCAUGUUUCAAUAAGGCAUUUAACCUGUUGGGUCUAGGGGGCAGCAUUUGCACGUCUGGAUAAAAAAAAUGUACCCGAUUUAAUCUGGUUACUAAUCCUACCCAGUAACUAGAAUAUGCAUAUACUUAUUAUAUAUGGAUAGAAAACACUCUAAAG
rnacentral:lncRNA from 1 species